rnacentral:lncRNA from 1 species
GCCCCCAGGUGACUUCUACAGACUCCCUCAUGUACCUCCCUCAAGGCGAAAUCGGCUUUAGAAGGCCGGAGAUAUUUCAGGAGGGGCAAAGAGUAUGACCUCUUGUAUAGCUUGCCUUUGUAAAGGAUAUAUCGGGAGGCCUGGUUCCUAAGCCUCUGAGCUUCUUUUGCAUCAGGAGGAAGAACCCCAUCCUUUAGGUAUGCAACC